GAUGAACGCUGGCGGCGUGCCUAAUACAUGCAAGUCGAGCGAACGGACGAGAAGCUUGCUUCUCUGAUGUUAGCGGCGGACGGGUGAGUAACACGUGGAUAACCUACCUAUAAGACUGGGAUAACUUCGGGAAACCGGAGCUAAUACCGGAUAAUAUUUUGAACCGCAUGGUUCAAAAGUGAAAGACGGUCUUGCUGUCACUUAUAGAUGGAUCCGCGCUGCAUUAGCUAGUUGGUAAGGUAACGGCUUACCAAGGCAACGAUGCAUAGCCGACCUGAGAGGGUGAUCGGCCACACUGGAACUGAGACACGGUCCAGACUCCUACGGGAGGCAGCAGUAGGGAAUCUUCCGCAAUGGGCGAAAGCCUGACGGAGCAACGCCGCGUGAGUGAUGAAGGUCUUCGGAUCGUAAAACUCUAUUAUUAGGGAAGAACAUAUGUGUAAGUAACUGUACACAUCUUGACGGUACCUAAUCAGAAAGCCACGGCUAACUACGUG
rnacentral:rRNA from 1 species